AUUGAACGCUUGCGGCAGGCCUAACACAUUCAAUUCGUACGAUUUGCUGACGGAUGAGUAAUUCCUGGGCACCUGCCUGAUUGAUUGGGCUCACUACUGGAAACGGUAGCUAAUACCGCAUACCUUCUUUCUUCCCCAGAUGGGAUUAGUUAGUAGGUGGGUUAACGGCUCACCUAGGCGACGAUCCCUAGCUGGUCUGAGUGGAUGACCAGCCACACUGGAACUGAGACACGGUCCAGAGUCCUACGGGAGGCAGCAGUGGGGAAUAUUGCACAAUGGGCGCAAGCCUGAUGCAGCCAUGCCGCGUGUAUGAAGAAGGCCUUCGGGUUGUAAAGUACUUUCAGGGGGGAGGCGUUACCCGCAGAAGGAGCAACGACUAACUCCGGGCCAGCAGCCGCGGUAAUUC
rnacentral:rRNA from 1 species